rnacentral:tRNA from 1 species
GUCGGGAUAGCUCAGUUGGUAGAGCAGGGGACUGAAAAUCCUCGUGUCACCAGUUCAAAUCUGGUUCCUGAUACAGGGUUUCA